rnacentral:lncRNA from 1 species
AGGCCCGUCCUCUAUAAACUACCCCAAGCUGCUUCUCUAAGAUUACCUCCUAUCUCCCCACCAGGUAGCUGUGCCCAGCACCCUCCGCUCUGCUGCCCCAGGGCAGAUCCCCAGUGCCAGAGGGGUGGCUGCUACUGCGAUGAGUUCUGCCGCGCUGUGCCCGACUGCUGCCCGGAUUACGGGGACGUCUGUCACCCUGGUUCCCAGACAACCACCCUUGUGCUGCAGGUGGUCGUGAGGAUGUUCCCGCCCAAGAGUCCUACCCCAGGAAGCCAGGCCUGGGUCCUGACUGUGGUGAGUCUUCUGAAGCAACACAGCGUGUUCUCUUGGGGAGGCAGGCAAGCCUAAUGGCAUGGUAUAGUGGGCCUGGGAGUCAGAGGAGUCUGCCACAUGGCUGCUCUGUGACCUUGGGCAAGUCACUUCCCUUCUCUGGACCUCAGUUCCCUCAUCUGUAAAAUGGGAAUUAAGACUGUG